AUGAAGCGCUCCUGGCUGCUCUUGGGAGCUGUGGCCCUGGCUCUCGAGCCGGCUGCCUUGGCCGCCUCUUUGGGAAGGAAGGACCAGGCCCGGAGGCGGCCGCCGCUCCGAGGGAGCCAGCCCUGCGUCGGGUGCUACACCCUUCUGUCCGCGCCCCUCUUCCCAUUGGAAAGAUCCCCUGCCUUCGAAAACGCCACCUUUUCGCUUCUUGUGGAGCCCAGCCCAUGGCCUCCCCACCCAGCGAUAAGGAUGGGCGGCAUUGAGGAGUCCACCCUGUCAGAUCCAGAGUCCAGCAAGCUGGUACGUGUGGCCGUGAGGGAGGGGAGAAGGGGGGCAGGGGACCGCCUGCCUCCAGAAGCCCAGGGGCGGCUGAACGUGGCUGAACAAGCCUUCCAUCUCCCCAGGUUUGGGGCCACCAUCAGGCCAACCUGUAAUGGGAUUUUUGCUUGCUUAAUGUCUAGUCCUGUUCAUGCAGGUGGGGUGGGUGAGGGGUUGUGAGGAGGUCAGCCUGGUCUGAUGAAGGUCUGCCCCGUCCAGAGGGAGCUGGGGAACAUUCCUGCAGGCGUGAUGGCCUCAAAGCCACUGCCUGCCAUUUUCCAGUGAAGCUUACACUGGAGCCAUUGGUUUGGAACUCCUUCCUUCCUUCCUUUUGCUUUGCGUAAACCGUUAUCCGGUUGCAGUGACGUUGACAGAUUGGCCUCAAGCCCUUUCCAGGAAUUGAGGAGGUCUCCAGCCCAGGGCAAAUAUUGACAGACAUCGAAUCGGGGAAUAAAUCUUUCCCCCUUCCCCGCGUCUGGCCCA
rnacentral:lncRNA from 1 species